CGCUCAGCCUGGGGCGUGGGCGUUUGCCCUCCGAAGGCGAAGGCCACACGUUCGAAUCGUGUCGGGUACGCCA
rnacentral:tRNA from 1 species